rnacentral:rRNA from 1 species
UACGGGGGGGGCAAGCGUUGUUCGGAAUUACUGGGCGUAAAGGGCUCGUAGGUGGCCAACUAAGUCAGACGUGAAAUCCCUCAGCUUAACUGGGGAACUGCGUCUGAUACUGGAUGGCUUGAGUUUGGGAGAGGGAUGCGGAAUUCCAGGUGUAGCGGUGAAAUGCGUAGAUAUCUGGAGGAACACCAAUGGCGAAGGCAGCUUGCUGGGACGGUACUGACGCUGAGGCGCGAAAGCGUGGGGAGCAAACAGG